rnacentral:tRNA from 1 species
GUGGGUAUAGCACAGUGGUAGAGCACAUGCUUUGCAUGCAUGAGGUUCUGGGUUCAAUCCCCAGGAUCUCCA